UAUUUCCCAACCCAAAAUGACUAAUUAAUAAUCGAGUAUUUGCUCUUCAGUAGUGAUUAAUUAAACUAAUCCUAAAACAAAUAAUAUCAAUACACUCUACUAAAGGAUGAACUUGAUCUUUAAUACCAAUCUCACUAAUCCUAUAGAUCGGAAGAGUGU